rnacentral:rRNA from 1 species
UUAAGUGACUAAGCGUACACGGUGGAUGCCUGGGCAGUCAGAGGCGAUGAAGGACGUACUAACUUGCGAUAAGCGCAGAUAAGGCAGUAAGAGCCGUUUGAGUCUGCGAUUUCCGAAUGGGGAAACCCAACUGCAUAAGCAGUUACUGUUAACUGAAUACAUAGGUUAACAGAGCAAACCGGGGGAACUGAAACAUCUAAGUACCCCGAGGAGAAGAAAUCAACCGAGAUUCCGGUAGUAGCGGCGAGCGAACCUGGAUUAGCCCUUAAGCACUCGGUGAAGUAGGUGAACAAGCUGGAAAGCUUGGCGAUACAGGGUGAUAGCCCCGUAACCGACGCUUCAUCGAGCGUGAAAUCGAGUAGGGCGGGACACGUGAUAUCCUGUCUGAAUAUGGGGGGACCAUCCUCCAAGGCUAAAUACUCCUGACUGACCGAUAGUGAACCAGUACCGUGAGGGAAAGGCGAAAAGAACCCCUGUGAGGGGAGUGAAAUAGAACCUGAAACCGUGUACGUACAAGCAGUAGGAGCACCUUCGUGGUGUGACUGCGUACCUUUUGUAUAAUGGGUCAGCGACUUAUAUUCAGUGGCAAGGUUAACCGUAUAGGGGAGCCGUAGCGAAAGCGAGUCUUAACUGGGCGCUCAGUCUCUGGAUAUAGACCCGAAACCGGGUGAUCUAGCCAUGGGCAGGUUGAAGGUUGAGUAACAUCAACUGGAGGACCGAACCGACUAAUGUUGAAAAAUUAGCGGAUGACUUGUGGCUAGGGGUGAAAGGCCAAUCAAACUCGGAGAUAGCUGGUUCUCCCCGAAAGCUAUUUAGGUAGCGCCUCGGACGAAUACUACUGGGGGUAGAGCACUGUUAAGGCUAGGGGGUCAUCCCGACUUACCAACCCUUUGCAAACUCCGAAUACCAGUAAGUACUAUCCGGGAGACACACGGCGGGUGCUAACGUCCGUCGUGGAGAGGGAAACAACCCAGACCGCCAGCUAAGGUCCCAAAGUAUUGCUAAGUGGGAAACGAUGUGGGAAGGCUCAGACAGCUAGGAUGUUGGCUUAGAAGCAGCCAUCAUUUAAAGAAAGCGUAAUAGCUCACUAGUCGAGUCGGCCUGCGCGGAAGAUGUAACGGGGCUAAGCAAUACACCGAAGCUGCGGCAAUGUCUUUUAGACAUUGGGUAGGGGAGCGUUCUGUAAGCCGUUGAAGGUGAAUCGUAAGGUUUGCUGGAGGUAUCAGAAGUGCGAAUGCUGACAUGAGUAACGACAAAGGGGGUGAAAAACCUCCUCGCCGGAAGACCAAGGGUUCCUGUCCAACGUUAAUCGGGGCAGGGUGAGUCGACCCCUAAGGUGAGGCCGAAAGGCGUAAUCGAUGGGAAACGGGUUAAUAUUCCCGUACUUCUGACUAUUGCGAUGGGGGGACGGAGAAGGCUAGGUGGGCCAGGCGACGGUUGUCCUGGUUCAAGUGCGUAGGCUUGAGAGUUAGGUAAAUCCGGCUCUCUCUAAGGCUGAGACACGACGUCGAGCUACUACGGUAGUGAAGUCAUUGAUGCCAUGCUUCCAGGAAAAGCCUCUAAGCUUCAGAUAGUCAGGAAUCGUACCCCAAACCGACACAGGUGGUCGGGUAGAGAAUACCAAGGCGCUUGAGAGAACUCGGGUGAAGGAACUAGGCAAAAUGGUACCGUAACUUCGGGAGAAGGUACGCUCUUGAUGGUGAAGUCCCUCGCGGAUGGAGCUGACGAGAGUCGCAGAUACCAGGUGGCUGCAACUGUUUAUUAAAAACACAGCACUGUGCAAAAUCGCAAGAUGACGUAUACGGUGUGACGCCUGCCCGGUGCCGGAAGGUUAAUUGAUGGGGUUAGCGCAAGCGAAGCUCUUGAUCGAAGCCCCGGUAAACGGCGGCCGUAACUAUAACGGUCCUAAGGUAGCGAAAUUCCUUGUCGGGUAAGUUCCGACCUGCACGAAUGGCGUAAUG